rnacentral:lncRNA from 1 species
AAUACAGGAAUAAUCUGACCUGCCUGCUGCCGAGGUGGAGUGGGUAGAGAAAGGAGCUGGAAAGGGAGAGAACACUAAAGAUACCAGUCUGCCUUCCAACCUCUUGGGCAAAGGAUGGAGAAUUGAG